rnacentral:rRNA from 1 species
UACGUAGGGUGCGAGCGUUGCCCGGAUUUAUUGGGCGUAAAGGGCGCGUAGGCGGCUCCGCACGUUCGUUGUGAAAUCGCCCGGCUCAACUGGGCGGGUCAGCGGAUACGGCGGAGCUUGAGCAAGCUAGGGGGCAAUGGAAUUCCCGGUGUAGUGGUGGAAUGCGUAGAUAUCGGGAGGAACACCAGUGGCGAAGGCGGUUGCCUGGGGCUUUGCUGACGCUGAUGCGCGAAAGCGUGGGGAGCGAUCCGG